AGUGGGGGAUAACCUUCCCAACGGAGGGCUAAUACCCCAUAUGGCGGCAGCGGGACAUCCCGCAGCCGUGAAAGUCCUCGGACGCUUCCGGAGGAGCUCGCGCCCUAUUAGGUAGUUGGCGGGGUAACGGCCCACCAAGCCUGCGAUGGGUAGCCGACCUGAGAGGGUGACCGGCCACACUGGGACUGAGAUACGGCCCAGACUCCUACGGGAGGCAGCAGUAGGGAAUAUUGCGCAAUGGGCGAAAGCCUGACGCAGCAACGCCGCGUGGAGGAUGAAGCCUUUAGGGGUGUAAGCUCCUUUCAGGGGGGAAGAAACCUGCUCAGCAGCUGACGGUACCCCCAGAAGAAGCUCCGGCUAACUCCGUGCCAGCAGCCGCGGUAAUACGGGGGGAGCUAGCGUUGUCCGGAAUCACUGGGCGUAAAGGGUGCGUAGGCGGGAUCGCAAGUCUGCGGUGAAAACUGGCGGCUCAACUGUCAGCCUGCCGCGGAGACUGCUUUUCUUGAGUGCUGCAGAGGAAAUCGGAAUUCCUGGUGUAGCGGUGAAAUGCGUAGAUAUCAGGAAGAACACCGGUUGCGAAGGCGGGUUUCUGGGCAUGCACUGACGCUGAGGCACGAAAGCUAGGGGAGCAAACAGGAUUAGAUACCCUGGUAGUCCUAGCCGUAAACGAUGAGCACUAGGUGUCGGGAGGGCCGAUCCUCUCGGUGCCGCAGCUAACGCAUUAAGUGCUCCGCCUGGGGAGUACGCUCGCAAGGGUGAAACUCAAAGGAAUUGACGGGGGCCCGCACAAGCGGUGGAGCAUGU
rnacentral:rRNA from 1 species